rnacentral:RNase_P_RNA from 2 species
CGGAGCGGCUCGGGUGCUCGCCGGCGUGGCCAGCGUGUUCUGCACGAGGGUCCCGCGGGAGGAAAGUCCGAGCUCCGCAGGGCAGGAUGCCAGGUAACGCCUGGUGGGGGUGACCCCGAGGACAGUGCCACAGAGAGAAGACCGCCACGACGCCUUCGGGCCUCGGGGUAAGGGUGAAAGGGUGCGGUAAGAGCGCACCGGGCCGGCGGUAACGUCGGUCGCGAGGUAAACCCCAUUCGGAGCAAGACCAAAUAGGGAAGCGACUGAGGGCGGCCCGCCUGAUGCUUCCGGGUAGAGUCGCUCGAGGCGUGCGGUGACGCACGUCCUAGACGAAUGACCACCACCCACGCGCCGGCGACGGACGUGGGAACAAAACUCGGCUUAUGAGCUCUCCGACCG